rnacentral:rRNA from 1 species
GAUGAACGCUGGCGGCGUGCCUAAUACACGCAAGUCGAGCGAACAGACGAGGAGCUUGCUCCUCUGACGUUAGCGGCGGACGGGUGAGUAACACGUGGAUAACCUACCUAUAAGACUGGGAUAACUUCGGGAAACCGGAGCUAAUACCGGAUAAUAUAUUGAACCGCAUGGUUCAAUAGUGAAAGACGGUUUUGCUGUCACUUAUAGAUGGAUCCGCGCCGCAUUAGCUAGUUGGUAAGGUAACGGCUUACCAAGGCAACGAUGCGUAGCCGACCUGAGAGGGUGAUCGGCCACACUGGAGCUGAGACACGGUCCAGACUCCUACGGGAGGCAGCAGUAGGGAAUCUUCCGCAAAGGGCGAAAGCCUGACGGAGCAACGCCGCGUGAGUGAUGAAGGUCUUCGGAUCGUAAAACUCUGUUAUUAGGGAAGAACAAAUGUGUAAGUAACUAUGCACGUCUUGACGGUACCUAAUCAGAAAGCCACGGCUAACUACGUG